UGGUUGUCGUCAGCUCGUGUCGUGAGAUGUUGGGUAAGUCCCGCAACGAGCGCAACCCUCGACCUUAGUUGCCAGCAUUCAGUUGGGCACUCUAAGGUGACUGCCGGCUAAAAGUCGGAGGAAGGUGGGGAUGACGUCAAAUCAUCAUGCCCCUUAUGACCUGGGCUACACACGUGCUACAAUGGGCGGUACAAAGGGUCGCGAACCCGCGAGGGGGAGCCAAUCCCAAAAAGCCGCUCUCAGUUCGGAUUGCAGGCUGCAACUCGCCUGCAUGAAGCCGGAAUCGCUAGUAAUCGCGGAUCAGCAUGCCGCGGUGAAUACGUUCCCGGGCCUU
rnacentral:rRNA from 1 species